UACAGAGGUCUCAAGCGUUGUUCGGAUUCAUUGGGCGUAAAGGGUGCGUAGGCGGCGCGGUAAGUCGGGUGUGAAAUCUCGGAGCUUAACUCCGAAACUGCAUUCGAUACUGCCGUGCUUGAGGACUGGAGAGGAGACUGGAAUUUACGGUGUAGCGGUGAAAUGCGUAGAUAUCGUAAGGAAGACCAGUGGCGAAGGCGGGUCUCUGGGCCACUACUGACGCUGAGGAGCGAAAGCGUGGGGAGCAAACAGG
rnacentral:rRNA from 1 species